rnacentral:rRNA from 1 species
GAUGAACGCUGGCGGCGUGCCUAAUACAUGCAAGUCGAGCGAACAGACGAGGAGUUUGUUCCUUUGUCGUUUGGGGCGGAGGGGUGGGAAACACGUGGAAACCCUCCUUAAAAUACGGGGAAAAUUUGGGGAAACGGGCGCAAAUACGGGAUAAUCUAUUGAACCGCAGGGUUCAAUAGUGAAUGACGGCUUUGCGGUACCUACUAGUGGGAUCCGCGCCGCUUUAGCUGGUUGGUAAGGUAACGGCUUACCAAGGCAACGAUGCGUAGCCGACCUGAGAGGGUGAUCGGCCACACUGGAACUGAGACACGGUCCAGACUCCUACGGGAGGCAGCAGUAGGGAAUCUUCCGCAAUGGGCGAAAGCCUGACGGAGCAACGCCGCGUGAGUGAUGAAGGUCUUCGGAUCGUAAAACUCUGUUAUUAGGGAAGAACAAAUGUGUAAGUAACUGUGCACGUCUUGACGGUACCUAAUCAGAAAGCCACGGCUAACUACGUG